rnacentral:tRNA from 1 species
CACGGGCUCGGACACGGCCUCGGGUUCGGGCACGGCUUCCGGCCGGGGUUCCGGCUCGGGACCCGGCUCCGGCUCCGGCUCCGCGGCCGGGGCCUGCGGC